GACGAACGCUGGCGGCGUGCUUAACACAUGCAAGUCGAACGAAGAGCGAUGGAAGCUUGCUUCUAUCAAUCUUAGUGGCGAACGGGUGAGUAACGCGUAAUCAACCUGCCCUUCAGAGGGGGACAACAGUUGGAAACGACUGCUAAUACCGCAUACGAUCUAAACUCGGCAUCGAGGAUAGAUGAAAGGUGGCCUCUACAUGUAAGCUAUCACUGAAGGAGGGGAUUGCGUCUGAUUAGCUUGACGGCGGGGUAACGGCCCACCGUGGCUACGAUCGGUAGGGGUUCUGAGAGGAAGGUCCCCCACACUGGAACUGAGACACGGUCCAGACUCCUACGGGAGGCAGCAGUGAGGAAUAUUGGUCAAUGGGCGUAAGCCUGAACCAGCCAAGUAGCGUGCAGGAUGACGGCCCUAUGGGUUGUAAACUGCUUUUAUGCGGGGAUAAAGUGGCCCACGUGUGGGCUUUUGCAGGUACCGCAUGAAUAAGGACCGGCUAAUUCCGUG
rnacentral:rRNA from 1 species